CAUUGCCCCCCAGUAAACGGCGAGUGAAGCGGCAACAGCUCAAAUUUGAAAUCUGGCCCUUACGGGUCCGAGUUGUAAUUUGUAGAGGAUGCUUUUGGCAAGGCGCCGCCCGAGUUCCCUGGAACGGGACGCCACAGAGGGUGAGAGCCCCGUCUGGCUGGCCGCCGAGCCUCUGUAAAGCUCCUUCGACGAGUCGAGUAGUUUGGGAAUGCUGCUCAAAAUGGGAGGUAUAUGUCUUCUAAAGCUAAAUAUUGGCCAGAGACCGAUAGCGCACAAGUAGAGUGAUCGAAAGAUGAAAAGCACCUUGAAAAGAGGGUUAAAUAGUACGUGAAAUUGUUGAAAGGGAAGCGCUUGUGACCAGACUUGGGCGCGGCGGAUCAUCCGGGGUUCUCCCCGGUGCACUUCGCCGCGUCCAGGCCAGCAUCAGUUCGUCGCGGGGGAAAAAGGCUUCGGGAACGUGGCUCCCUCGGGAGUGUUAUAGCCCGUUGCGUAAUACCCUGCGGUGGACUGAGGACCGCGCAUCUGCAAGGAUGCUGGCGUAAUGGUCACCAGCGACCCGUCUUGAAACACGGACCAAGGAGUCGUCUUCUUAUGCGAGUGUUCGGGGUGUCAAACCCCUACGCGUAAUGAAAGUGAACGCAGGUGAGAGCUUCGGCGCAUCAUCGACCGAUCCUGAUGUUCUCGGAUGGAUUUGAGUAAGAGCAUACGGGGCCGGACCCGAAAGAAGGUGAACUAUGCCUGUAUAGGGUGAAGCCAGAGGAAACUCUGGUGGAGGCUCGCAGCGGUUCUGACGUGCAAAUCGAUCGUCAAAUAUGGGCAUGGGGGCGAAAGACUAAUCGAACCUUCUAGUAGCUGGUUUCCGCCGAAGUUUCCCUCAGGAUAGCAGUGUUGAACUCAGUUUUAUGAGGUAAAGCGAAUGAUUAGGGACCCGGGGGCGCUAUAUUGCCUUCAUCCAUUCUCAAACUUUAAAUAUGUAAGAAGCCCUUGUUGCUUAAUUGAACGUGGGCAUUCGAAUGUAUCAACACUAGUGGGCCAUUUUUGGUAAGCAGAACUGGCGAUGCGGGAUGAACCGAACGCGAGGUUAAGGUGCCAGAGUAGACGCUCAUCAGACACCACAAAAGGCGUUAGUACAUCUUGACAGCAGGACGGUGGCCAUGGAAGUCGGAAUCCGCUAAGGACUGUGUAACAACUCACCUGCCGAAUGUACUAGCCCUGAAAAUGGAUGGCGCUCAAGCGUCUCACCCAUACCUCGCCCUCGGGGUAGAAACGAUGCCCCGAGGAGUAGGCGGACGUGGAGGUCGUGACGAAGCCUAGGGGU
rnacentral:rRNA from 1 species